AAGUCGUAACAAGGUCUCCGUUGGUGAACCAGCGGAGGGAUCAUUACAGAGUUGCAAAACUCCCUAAACCAUCGCGAACCUACCGCUAAACAGUUGCUUCGGCGGGUGGCGGGCGUGCCCCCCCCAAGGGGGGAAAGCCCGCCGCCGAGCCCGCCGGAGGAAAACCAAAACUCUUGUUUUUACUACCGGCCUCUCUGAGUAUACUUACUUAAAAUAAGUCAAAACUUUCAACAACGGAUCUCUUGGUUCUG
rnacentral:misc_RNA from 1 species